rnacentral:rRNA from 1 species
CCUACGGGAGGCAGCAGGAGGGAAUCUUACACAAUGGACGAAAGUCUGAUGGAGCAACGCCGCGGGAGUGAAGAAGGGUGUCGGCGAGUAAAGCUCUGUUGGUAGAGAAGAAAGAUAGAGGGAGUAACUGGCCUUUAGUUGACGGUAAGUACGCAGAAAGGCACGGCUAACUACGUGCCAGCAGCCGCGGUAAGACGUAGGUGGCAAGCGUUGGCCGGAUUUAUUGGGCGGAAAGCGAGUGCAGGCGGUUCCAUAAGUCUGAUGUGAAAGCCUUCGGCUCAACCGGAGAAUUGCAUCAGAAACUGUUGAACUUGAGUGCAGCAGAGGAGAGUGGAACUCCCUGUGUAGCGGUGAAAUGCGUAGAUAUAUGGAAGAACACCAGUGGCGAAGGCGGCUCUCUGGUCUGCAACUGACGCUGAGGCUCGAAAGCCUGGGUAGCGAACAGGAUUAGAUACCCGGGUAGUC